AGUGACACCAUAGAGAGGCCCACACAUCGAAACAAGAAGUGACGUUAUCUAAAGUCCCGAAACGAUAAUUACAGCCUCCCAUAUACCAAUGGAAAGGUCGGAGGAGAGUUUUCAGCAGCAUUGAGAGAGAAAUUAAAAGUAAACAUCGGAAUUUGAAAGCUUCUGAUCUCUCCCAAGUCUCGCUGUUUGCUGAAACAAUUCUGCUGGGCUCUCCGAAGCUUCUCGAUUUCUCUCUCCAAUUCUUCCCGUAAAGAUAUUUGGCUUUAUGAAGCAUUUUUAACAAAGUAAAACAUCCCAUGGCCCUUCAACAGUGAGUAAUCCGUCAAAAAUUCAUACUGAGUCAAAGGAGGAGACAUUAGGACAGGCACUCCUAAUGCAUCAACUGAUUUUAGCCCUUUUGAACUAGUUUACGGUCAUAAGGUAAGGGGACUACUGAAAUGGAUUCAUGAGAAAUUGGUGGCUCAGAAUUCAGAAACUACUCUCCUGGAUUAAGUAUCAAAUUUCAGGGAAAGAUUGAACAGAGCAUGUGAGUUGGCUAGGGAACAUUUAAAGAUAUCACAGCAAGUGAUGAAAGCGAAAGCAGAUAAGACGGCUAAAAUUCGCAGUUUUGUUUCUGGAAAGUAUUAGUUUUGUUACCAGUACUAGGUGAGUCAUUAAAUGUAAGAUUUAGUGGACCUUAAAGGAUUGAAAAGAAAUUGAGUGAAGUAAAUUAUUUAAUAAAUACUCCAGAUAGAAGAAAGAAGCAGUGGGUAUGUCAUGUAAGUAUGCUGAAAAAGUAUUUUGACAGGGAAGAGGAACAAAAAGAGGUGUUAGUGAUGGUGGAUGAUGAGAAAGAGGUACAAGUGCAGGACUCUGAAAUUGAUUUUCCUCUAAUCAAAUUGGAU